AAAGAGCGGGUUUUCCUUCGGGGUAGCUUAGCGGCGGACGGGUGAGUAACACGUAGGCAACCUGCCCCUUAGCCUGGGAUAACUACCGGAAACGGUAGCUAAUACCGGAUAAUCCCUUUCCUCGCCUGAGGAAAGGAUAAAAGGCGGAGCAAUCUGCUGAUAAGGGAUGGGCCUGCGGCGCAUUAGCUAGUUGGUGAGGUAACGGCUCACCAAGGCGACGAUGCGUAGCCGACCUGAGAGGGUGAACGGCCACACUGGGACUGAGACACGGCCCAGACUCCUACGGGAGGCAGCAGUAGGGAAUCUUCCGCAAUGGGCGAAAGCCUGACGGAGCAACGCCGCGUGAGUGAUGAAGGUUUUCGGAUCGUAAAGCUCUGUUGCCAGGGAAGAACGUCCGGUAGAGUAACUGCUACCGGAGUGACGGUACCUGAGAAGAAAGCCCCGGCUAACUACGUGCCACGCCGCGGAAUACUAGGGGGAACGUUGCCCGGAAUUAUUGGGCGG
rnacentral:rRNA from 1 species